rnacentral:rRNA from 1 species
UACCUCAUGUAUAGCAUUUAGCUUAACGCCGGAACCAUCCGAACCCGGAAGUUAAACUCGAUAGCGUUGGCAAUAGUACUGUAGUUAUUGUCUAUGGGAAAUGCCAAACUGUGAGUUCG